rnacentral:rRNA from 1 species
UACCAGCACCCCGAGUGGUCGGGACGUUAUUGGGCCUAAAGCAUCCGUAGCCGGUUUUACAAGUCCUCCGUUAAAUCCAGCUGCUUAACAGAUGGGCUGCGGAGGAUACUAUAAGACUAGGAGGCAGGAGAGGCAAGCGGUACUCAGUGGGUAGGGGUAAAAUCCGUUGAUCCAUUGAAGACCACCAGUGGCGAAGGCGGCUUGCCAGAAUGCGCUCGACGGUGAGGGAUGAAAGCUGGGGGAGCAAACCGG